rnacentral:rRNA from 1 species
CCUACGGGUGGCUGCAGUGGGGAAUAUUGGACAAUGGGGGCAACCCUGAUCCAGCGACGCCGCGUGAGUGAAGAAGUAUUUCGGUACGUUAAGCUCUAUCUGCAGGAAAGAAAAUGACGGUACCUGACUCUGAAUCCACGGCUAACUACGAGCCAGCAGCCGCGGUAAGACGCAGGGUGCAAGCGUUAUCCGGAGUUACUGGGGGUAAUGGGUGCGUAGUCGGCAGAGCAGGUGUGUGGUGAAAUGCCGGGGCGCAACCCCGGAACUGCCCUUGAUACUGUGCAGCUGGAGUGUAGGAGAGGUAAGCGGAAUGCCUGGUGUAGCGGUGAAAUGCUUAGAGAUCAGGAAGAACACCGACUGCGAAGGCAGCUUACCGGACUGCAACUGACGUUGAGGCACGAAGGCGUGGGGAGCAAACAGGAUUAGAUACCCGGGUAGUC